CUGUUUGUCUUUGUUAGAUCCAGCAGCUGGAGAAAGGGUCGCCGGGAAAGCUGAAAGUGGUGGCUAAAUCCACGGAGGGGCCGGAAACCAUCAGCGGCGUGUACAACACGGUUUUGCUGGCGAUUGGCCGCGAUGCCUGCACGAGGAGACUCGGCCUGGAGAAGAUCGGCGUCAAGAUCAGCGACAAGGACGGCAAGAUCCCCGUGAACGACGUGGAGCAGACGAACGUGUCCUACGUCUACGCCGUCGGGGACAUUCUGGAAGGCAAGCCG